CUCAUAUACAGUUCUAUCCCGAAGAACUCAAUUCCUUGCACACGCUCCUGACAAGGGGAAUUAGUAACUUGGUACCUUCCCUCUCGCGAGUUUUUCAUCCAUCAGUGAGAGUUCCACAACUUGAUCACGACAAUAUGCCUCUACAAUCGAUUCUCGCAAUCUUCAUCGAAAUACUCACGGUUACCCGCAACCGGUUCCACAAAUCCAUCCAAAG
rnacentral:lncRNA from 1 species